UGGGGAAUAUUGCACAAUGGAGGGAACUCUGAUGCAGCGACGCCGCGUGAACGAAGAAGGCUUUCGAGUCGUAAAGUUCUUUUAUAUGGGAAGAUAAUGACGGUACCAUAAGAAAAAGCCCCGGCUAACUACGUGCCAGCAGCCGCGGUAAUACGUAGGGGGCUAGCGUUGUCCGGAAUCACUGGGCGUAAAGGGUUCGCAGGCGGAAAUGCAAGUCAGGUGUAAAAGGCAGUAGCUUAACUACUGUAAGCAUUUGAAACUGCAUAUCUUGAGAAGAGUAGAGGUAAGUGGAAUUUUUAGUGUAGCGAUGAAAUGCGUAGAUAUUGGGAGGAACACCAGUAGCGAAGGCGGCUUUCUGGACUGCAACUGACACUGAGGCACGAAAGCGUGGGUAGCAAACAGG
rnacentral:rRNA from 1 species